rnacentral:lncRNA from 1 species
UCUGCACCUUCCUUUAAUUCCUCUUCCUUUCUAUUCCCCUCCGCUGGCCAUCUCCCCAACGAACGCCUCGUCUCCUUCCCUUCCUCUGUACGCUAGCACCUACAGGAAGAUAAACAUACACAACGAGAAACUGCCAAGCAAUCACACAAGAAGCUGCCUCCUGUCCUCCUCCAUAAUUCCCAUAAGUGUCCACCGGUUCCAAAACUGAAGGUACAGGGACCUGCGCCUCAAUCUCCUCCCUCGUUUCCCUUAGCCCUCUUCCAUCUCUCUUCUCCGUCCUCCCAGAGAACUCCUCCCAAAGAAACAGUGUUCCAUUUACAUCGGAACUUGAUUCUGAUGAAGGAGACCAUCCCAGUCCAUGCCCUUGCGCCAAAAGGUUCUCUUUCAUGCGUUGAAUCCAUUCAGGGAGGAAAGAAAGCGAUCCGUGGACCACACGCGCAGAAUUUCGCAUGUCAGUCUACACUGUUCGUCGAGUUCUUCGCGUCGUUCUGUCAAACAUGGUGAGCCUCUAUCAAAUUCCUUUUGCACGCGUACUCACCAUCAUCUACUCUAUCUCGUAGACAUCAUCAUUCAGCUCAUCUAUGUCGUUGCUCACGCUGAUGCAUGAACGGAUUCUAUCGACAUGUCCGCGUACUUUUUAGUUUCUCGGAUGAUCUUGUGUUCAACAUAUGAUUUGUUUCUCAUACCCAUAGUAACCCCAUGAUGGAGUUAGAUCGCUAGUUUUAUCAAUAGGAUUUUAGUAUACAUUUUGUUAUAGCCGUUCUUGCCUAAGAUUUAAUGGAGUUUGUUCAUCGGUUAAAUUUUAUAUUAAUUUGUUAUUGUUCUUAUGUUUGCGAUAUGCCUAGAAGUGCAUCCUAGUGGUCUCAUAAUUUUUGCCUGUGAUAAAUGGCUUAUUAGAGUUAUUGUUUAUUGUUUACCGAUUAUAGUUUUUGUUGUCGCAAGUUGAUAAUUUUUUGUAUUGUUAUUGACUUGUGUUAGACAUGUCUAUAGAUAUUGAGUAUAGUCUGGUAUGUUGUUAUGUAGAUAAUUUCUUGUAUCAUGUAGUAGUGGGAGAUGCUUUUGUAAUAGCUAUUGUGACUUAUCAUCAUGAGUAGUAGUUGAUCGGUGAACUUUUGUGUUAAUUUUAUAUGUUCGGGAUAUAGUUAGGAGUGUAUGCUAGUUGUCUCAUAAUUUUCUGUGUGGCAUGUGACAUGUUAAAUUUAUUGUUUACCGAUUAUAUUUUGUUUAAAAUAAGUUUUGCAUGCUAUUUCCACUUGACAAUUUGGUGUAUUGUGUAUAGUCCUCUUUUAUGCAUGCAUACAAUAUUUGCUGGACGCUCAACAUGCUUAUAUUUAUGUGGAACUAUUCUAAGUUUUGCUUUAUGUAUCUAAUCAUGAAAUACUUCAUGUUUCAUUUAGUUUAGUUCAUUCACUAGCAUGAAGAUAUCUUAGGUAUAUUUUAUAUAUUGACUUCACCUUUGUUGCAUGUGUAUUUGUCAGGGUUUUUUUAUCAUAUCAGGUGAUACUUUAGGUGAUAUUUAUUUAAAUUAUUUGUGUUACCUAGUUUUGUUACUAGUGGUUAUGAAAAUUUGGUAUGUUAUCGACCAUAGUCAUAGUACUUGUUGUAGGUCUAUUGUUUGCGUUUAUAUUAUGUGUUAUCAUGCAUGGAGAUCAUUACUUUUAUAGAGUGUGAGGAUUGCGCUUUACAGUGUAGUGCUUCUCAUUUCUUAGAUGUUUGUUAUCCGAAAUUGCAUGGUUGGAUACUUCAUGUCAUGGUUAUAUUUGUAUUGCUUUACAUAAUUUAUUUUUGUGGCAUAGAGCAUAGCUUAUAACAUCUUAGUAAUUUUCAUGUGUGUUUAUUUAUCCUAGUUUAUUACCAUGCCAUGUUGGUAAUUGCUUAAAGUAGAAUACAUGGUUUUAUUGUAUGUCCCAAGUGUUGCAACAUUGCUAGUUCGUACUUUUUGUUCGCACGUAUGGUUAGCCUUUUCCUGUUAGACAUACAUGUUACCAGUGUAUGAUCUCCUAUGACUUAAGUUUGAUGCUUGAUCAAUACCCCGCAUGAUGAUGCGACUGCAUAACUAGAUUGUAUAGCAUGUGUGUACGAGUUCAUGUAUUAGAUCAUGCCUAGUGGUGUAUCUUAUGUCGUUGCAACUCUAGAUUGUAACAAAUAGAGGUGCAUGCCAUUUUCACUCAUGCUAGUAUAGUACAUUACUUGAUGUCAUGAUCUAGUUGUCUAACUUGCAAAUGAUUAGUAUGACAUGUCCAUGUGCUUAUAGGACAUAACUAUGUCCAUGUUUUUAUAUGAGAUAACUAGUAUGUAAGGUUCUGUGCUCUUGCCAUUCUUGAUACUCAUGUUAGCCGAUAUCAACUAAGUUAUCUUAUUUUGUGAGUUGUAUUCUAUUAGUACCAUACUUUGGCAUCUCGUGUGAUGAUCAUUCAUACUUAGUGUUAUACAUUGUAUCUAAUUAUUGCGUUGUUGGGUAUCUAGAUGUUGUUCAUGCAAGUGAUCUUUCAUGUUUUAUGAUGUUUCAUGUGUUAUAGUUGCACUUGUGUUGCUCAUAUGUGGUUGACUUGUCUCAUGUUAGUGUUAUGAGUGUUUGGCACAUGUUGCAUUAGCUCCUCACAUGAUUAGGAUAGUUUAACUUUCAAUAGUUGAGUUGUGUCUUUCUCAUAUGCUUAGUGCACAUUGUUGCUUUGUUGUUAAUCAUGUUGUCGUAAUCUUGUUGCCAUAGGUCAUUUGGAUAUUAGUUGUUUCCUUUAUUAUAAAGAAUGUCCUAGUUUAGUAUCUUCUCAUGGUCACUCAUAUAUUUAAUGCUUGUGUUAUUAUAUAAGACCUCUUCACGAUUCUAUACUCACAUGCCUUGUAUGAUGUGUCUGAUUAUUUAAUUUACCAAUUAGUUUUGUGAUAGCAUUGGUUUGUCUUUUGUUAUAGAAAUGCUUACUAAUAGUCAUGAUUGGGGUUUAGUAUUUGCUUGUUAUUAACCAUUAUAAAUAUUUGAAUUCAUUCAAAUAUUUAUUUUUGGUUGAUUAUUAAUCUUAAUGAUAUCAUGUCUAGGAUAGUUGUUCAUCCAUUGUUCCACGUGUUGUAUAGUUUCUUGUCAAUUGUUUGAGUGAUGAAUUGGUUUGAUUUGAUGGAGUGGAUCCUAUUUUAUUUUCAUAAUGGUUGGGCCAGACCUAGAUCAAUUCAAUUAAUGUUGUUGAAUGAUGUUUGAUUGCUUCAGUAGCAUGUUUUAUAAUGUUGGUUUGGUUGUCGUAUAGAACACUUGUUUUGAGUUAUUACAGAGUUAAUGUAUAUGUUUGGAUUCUAUUGACCAUUAUGAAUAUUUAGAUUUUGCUAAAUAUUUAAUUGUGGUUAUCUUUUACAUUUAUCAUGCCAUGUUUUGUUUGUGUAAAUAAAAUACAUAGGAUGAUUCCAUUAAUUCCAUGCUUGUUGGUGCCAUUGUGUUUCUCAUAUGGUUGUUUCCUAUAUUGUUACUCAUGAUGUGUAGUGGGCACUACUAAUGGUCUGUUAGCAUAGUUCUUACUAGAACGUUAGUCUUGAUCACCAGGCCUUCCGUAGCUUUGUAAACCUAAACCUUGUUGUUUAAUCCUCUCUCUUACAUCCAAUCGUGCUACCUCAUUUCGGAGUCUCCAUCUUCAUCAAUAUCUUGCUAUCCACCCACUCUUAAAUUGUUUUGGAUGUUAUUUGGAUUUGUUAUUGCUUUGGUAUUUAUUUGUUUGUCUUUUGCUAUCAUUACGACGAGUAGGGAUUGACGACGGUGUUGGACAUGGACAGAAACAGGUUACCGAAGAAGGACUCAACAACGAAGGCAUGCCUCCUCCUUAAUCAUACUUAUCCUAUGGUUUACAAAAUUGCAUUAAGUUUUAUUGUUACUAUAUGCAUGCUAUUUUAAUUCUCGUAGCUAGCGUGUCCAUUGACACAUUACCUUGAUCCGCUUGUCUCCUAUUUACUUGACACCUGUGUAGAAGUAUAUAGUUCCAGUAGAGUAGAAAUGCUUAGCCAUGCUUAUCAUCCUAUAGGUGCUUUGUUGAAUGACCUCUAGGUCAUUGACAGUUGAAACUUAACGCUGAGCUAAGCCAGUUGGCCCUUGUUGAACUCCUCUACUCUCUUCUACUCUGGGUGAAACUUACCAUCUGAAUACUGGUGCGGGCGACAGCUGAAUCAAGGAUUGAAGGAGCGAUUGGCCGCCCUUCACUUGUUGAAGGGGGCAAUCAGUCGUCCGUGCCGCAUGAGGCCUAAUAAGUCUUGGAUUUGAAGAUUGUGAUAAUAGUACAACCACAUGCUAUACGGGCACUGGCUUGGUUAAUUAGUUAGUUCACUCUUAUUGUCGUCAUCGCCGUACCGCAGAUGGGAUAGCUGCCUUGCGAGGAGUAUCCUUGGCACAAAAGGAGGCCCGGACUGUGAACUACAGUUACUUCCGUGUUGAAACCUAGUGGGCUUGGCACAGUAAGUUUGGUCUAAUGAAAGACCUCGUCACAAUCUCCCUGCCUGUAUACCAAAUGGUGUACUAUGCCAGCGGCCACUGGUGGCAACAAGUCGAGAUUGUGUCGUGUGGGUAAAGUGUACAACCUCUGCAGAGUGUAAAACUAUUCAAAUAGCCGUGUCCACGAUCAUGGGCAACACAUGAAUCUUUCUUGACGUACGGGACCUGUCUUGCUUAUUCCCUCUUUGCCCCUAUUCUUGAAACCUAUGAAGGACGUGAGUUGAUCGAGGAUCCUCACUUGAAGAAAGAUAUUAUUCUGGAGAUAAAACAUGUUUUCAUCUAAAAUCGCUAUUAUUCAACUACCUUAUUUGUCAAACAAAAUUAGCUUUAUGCAAAUGAGCCAUAGAGCCUUCCUUUGAAGCCACAUGUAGCUAUUAGGUCCUUCCCCGUGGGAGGCAUUUUGAGUACGUAAUGUACUCAUGGCAAUACUUUUGUUGAACAACAGAGAUCUAUGAAGACAAGGGCGUCGACUACGAUUAUUAUGAUGAUCCUGAGGAGUGAGGACACAUUGACUACAUCGACUGCCUGUGGCUGAGAUGGAGUUGCUACGCGUUAUAUAUUCCACUAUGUUUCUGAUUGUAAUAAAUGUCUUGAGACAUUCCAGUAUGUAUGCCUUGUGGGAAGAGUUGUUAAACUUAUACUUAUUUUAAUGUUCCGCAAUGAUACCAUUUCACUGCGUUGCCAAGUUGAUCCUAGGUUUGACAAAUAUACACAGGAG